GAUCCUACGGGACGCAGCAGUAGGGAAUUUUCGUCAAUGGGCGCAAGCCUGAACGAGCAAUGCCGCGUGAACGAGGAAGGUCUUCGGAUCGUAAAGUUCUGUUGAAGGGGAAAAAGAGCGGAGAGAGGAAAUGGUCUCCGAUUGAUAUUACCCUUCGAGGAAGUCACGGCUAACUACGUGCCAGCAGCCGCGGUAAUACGUAGGUGGCGAGCGUUAUCCGGAAUGAUUGGGCGUAAAGGGUGCGUAGGCGGCGAUGCAAGUCAGAAGUGAAAGCCCGGGGCCCAACUCCGGGACUGCUUUUGAAA
rnacentral:rRNA from 1 species